rnacentral:rRNA from 1 species
AUUGAACGCUGGCGGCAGGCCUAACACAUGCAAGUCGAGCGGAUGAAGGGAGCUUGCUCCUGGAUUCAGCGGCGGACGGGUGAGUAAUGCCUAGGAAUCUGCCUGGUAGUGGGGGAUAACGUCCGGAAACGGGCGCUAAUACCGCAUACGUCCUGAGGGAGAAAGUGGGGGAUCUUCGGACCUCACGCUAUCAGAUGAGCCUAGGUCGGAUUAGCUAGUUGGUGGGGUAAAGGCCUACCAAGGCGACGAUCCGUAACUGGUCUGAGAGGAUGAUCAGUCACACUAGAACUGGGACACGGUCCAGACUCCUACGGGAGGCAGCAGUGGGGAAUAUUGGACAAUGGGCGAAAGCCUGAUCCAGCCAUGCCGCGUGUGUGAAGAAGGUCUUCGGAUUGUAAAGCACUUUAAGUUGGGAGGAAGGGCAGUAAGUUAAUACCUUGCUGUUUUGACGUUACCAACAGAAUAAGCACCGGCUAACUUCGUG